rnacentral:ncRNA from 1 species
UCAGGUGCCGAAGCCAUAAGCUCCGGAGAAUAGGGAAGUAAGUGAGAUUCUUACGCGGUCCCGCCACUGUAAGGGAAGAAAGAGGAUUCGGAUGCCACUGUCUGCGGAUGGGAAGGCGAAUCCAUCGAGGAGACCCGAGCCAGGAGACCUGCCUGAUGAC